rnacentral:rRNA from 1 species
UUGGAGGGCAAGUCUGGUGCCAGCAGCCGCGGUAAUUCCAGCUCCAAUAGCGUAUAUUAAAGUUGCUGCAGUUAAAAAGCUCGUAGUUGAAUUUCGGGACCAAUAUGUCGGUCGUGCCUCGGUACGUACUGGCAUCGUUGGUUUCUCCCUUCUGACGAACCAUGAUGUCAUUUAUUUGGUGUCGUGGGGAAUCAGGACUGUUACUUUGAAAAAAUUAGAGUGUUUAAAGCAGGCUCACGCUUGAAUACAUUAGUAUGGAAUAAUGAAAUAGGACGUUUGAUUCUAUUUUGUUGGUUUCUAGGAUCGACGUAAUGAUUAAUAGGGAUAGUUGGGGGCAUUAGUAUUCAAUUGUCAGAGGUGAAAUUCUUGGAUUUAUUGAAGACUAACUACUGCGAAAGCAUUUGCCAAGGAUGUUUUCAUUAAUCAAGAACGAAAGUUAGGGGAUCGAAGACGAUCAGAUACCGUCGUAGUCUUAACCAUAAACUAUGCCGACUAGGGAUCGGAUGAUGUUAAUUUUUUAAUGACUCAUUCGGCGCCUUACGGGAAACCAAAGUGUUUGGGUUC